CAGUCGUACUUGCGGAUAAUCAACCUUUAGAUGCGAUUUUGUGGAGCGUCAAGAGUUAAACGCCUUCAUGCCUACAUAUUCGUGCACUUUGGGUGUACUUGCCCGUGUGUAAGUUAACAUCAAUUUUGGUGGUCAUAAAAUGGCUGGAGGAAUGUAGCUUCGAUCUUGUAUUGAAGUGUUAUAGCCUUCGGUAGAUGUGGUGAUCGAGAUUGAGGAUUGGCAACGGAUACCCUUCGGGGCUACCUGUCUGGUCUCUGAUCGUUGCUCUGGUGCCGAAAGCUUGCUUACGGUUAUCAAAGUCGAUGGUCAAUAGGUUAGAACGGUUAAUUCGUUAAGGAUGUUGACGUAAUAGGUUUAAACGACCGUCUUAGAAACACGGACCAAGGA
rnacentral:rRNA from 1 species